GUGCUCAUUGGUACUCGACAACCUUGCCAAGGUUGAAGUCGAGGGUUCGAAUCCCUUCGCCCGCACCA
rnacentral:tRNA from 1 species